rnacentral:tRNA from 1 species
AGGUAGGGUGGCCGAGUAGGCGGCGAGUUGUAGCCUCGUGUACGGGUGUCAAGCCCCCCGACCAG